rnacentral:rRNA from 1 species
ACCCCACUAUUCNGCCCUCAAGACUAGUUCUAAGCACUACAACUUAUUAAAGUUAAAACUUAAAUAUCAUGGCGGCGAGUCUAAAUUUCAGAGGAACUUACCAGAUAAAUGAUAACCCGCAAGUGAUUCUUACCUUAGCUAAAAGUUUAUAUAUCGCCGUCUAGUACUCUUCUUUGAAGGCUACAAAGUGCUUAUGGCAAAAAGACAGGCCAUGAUGUAGCAUAUGUUAAGGACAUUAAGGUGAGUUACAAUAAGAAGUUCUUUCCGAAUUCUACUUAAAAAAGAUUGAAGAUGGAUUUGAAAGUAAUAAUUAAAACAAAUAACCUAUGAAUAUUUCUAGGCUCGNGUACAC